rnacentral:rRNA from 1 species
GGAGAGCUUGCUCUCUGGUGGCGAGUGGCGAACGGGUGAGUAAUGCAUCGGAACGUACCGAGUAAUGGGGGAUAACUGUCCGAAAGGAUGGCUAAUACCGCAUACGCCCUGAGGGGGAAAGCGGGGGAUCGAAAGACCUCGCGUUAUUUGAGCGGCCGAUGUUGGAUUAGCUAGUUGGUGGGGUAAAGGCCUACCAAGGCGACGAUCCAUAGCGGGUCUGAGAGGAUGAUCCGCCACAUUGGGACUGAGACACGGCCCAAACUCCUACGGGAGGCAGCAGUGGGGAAUUUUGGACAAUGGGGGGAACCCUGAUCCAGCCAUGCCGCGUGUCUGAAGAAGGCCUUCGGGUUGUAAAGGACUUUUGUUAGGGAAGAAAAGCCGGGUGUUAAUACCACCUGGUGCUGACGGUACCUAAAGAAUAAGCACCGGCUAACUACGUGCCAGCAGCCGCGGUAAUACGUAGGGUGCGAGCGUUAAUCGGAAUUACUGGGCGUAAAGCGAGCGCAGACGGUUAAUUAAGUCAGAUGUGAAAUCCCCGAGCUCAACUUGGGACGUGCAUUUGAAACUGGUUAACUAGAGUGUGUCAGAGGGAGGUAGAAUUCCACGUGUAGCAGUGAAAUGCGUAGAGAUGUGGAGGAAUACCGAUGGCGAAGGCAGCCUCCUGGGAUAACACUGACGUUCAUGCUCGAAAGCGUGGGUAGCAAACAGGAUUAGAUACCCUGGUAGUCCACGCCCUAAACGAUGACAAUUAGCUGUUGGGACGCUAGAUGUCUUAGUAGCGAAGCUAACGCGUGAAAUUGUCCGCCUGGGGAGUACGGUCGCAAGAUUAAAACUCAAAGGAAUUGACGGGGACCCGCACAAGCGGUGGAUGAUGUGGAUUAAUUCGAUGCAACGCGAAGAACCUUACCUGGUCUUGACAUGUACGGAAUCUCUUAGAGAUAGGAGAGUGCCUUCGGGAACCGUAACACAGGUGCUGCAUGGCUGUCGUCAGCUCGUGUCGUGAGAUGUUGGGUUAAGUCCCGCAACGAGCGCAACCCUUGCCAUUAGUUGCCAUCAUUAAGUUGGGCACUCUAAUGAGACUGCCGGUGACAAA